CGCCCGCCGCGUGCGCAGGCGCAGACGUCCCUUCCGGCGCCAGCGGCCCUGCGCCCCUCGCUGGGCGAUGCGGCGGCUCGGCCGCGGGCAGACGGCGCUCGGGCGGGUGUGGGGCGCCGAGAUGCCCAGGAAGGCUGGGGCGACCGACAAGGGCAAAAGCCGGAGCGGGGGUCCAGAGCGCUCUCUUCCUCCCGUAGGGCCUGUGGCAGUUGAUCCUAAAGGUUGUGUCACCAUUGCCAUCCAUGCCAAACCUGGUUCCAAGCAAAAUGCUGUAACAGACCUGACCGCGGAAGCUGUAAGCGUGGCUAUCGCGGCCCCUCCGUCUGAAGGAGAAGCUAACGCCGAGCUCUGCCGGUAUCUCUCCAGGGUCCUGGCGCUCAGGAAGAGUGACGUGGUUCUGGAUAAGUCAUCCAAUCUGGUGGUUCUUGAAUCUCCAAAGACCCUUCAAAGAAGAAAGGAUGUGGAAGCCAUUUUUGCGCAGAUCAUCGUGAUUUGGGAAGGGAAAGAGCUUGACUACCUUUGCUCAUCAGAAGAGGUGACUGGCAGCUGUGUGCUUUGUCUAAGUACGGGAGAAAACGUACUGAUCGACAAAAAUCUUUAAAAAUACAAACCCAUUAGAAGGAUCAAUGAUGAAAAUUACUAACGGUAAAAGAGCUGGGUCCUCCCCCGAGAAUACUGCAGCAGGCCCAGUGACCUAGGCCCAAGGAAACAAGAUCUCGAACCCCUGGCCCUGCCCACCUACAUUAAUUUUAAGUGAACACCAGCUACACAGGCUAUGGAGUGACCUGGUGACCUGGCAUUCCUUGUCCCGUGCUGUCCUGAGGGCACGUCUUUGAGGCAGGCCCUGAAGGUCUGAAAGAUGCUGUCCAACUCUGGUGAAUAGCAUCACGGUGACGUUCUACCGCUGCAUCUGCCAUUUACUACUCCUACCUGAGUACAUGAUCAUUGCUCCUGCAAAAGUGAUGUAUGGGUAACUUCCUAGUCCUUCGCAGACACUGCCGACGCUCGGAGUGUACGCUGACGGAACGGCGGAAGGCAGGCCUCGCGCUCCCACCGUGGAGGUGGGAACAAGCCUGGACUCCUGACUCCUGUGCCAACUGAGGCGGGAGAACCAGCGGGUGUGGCGGCACCAUGGCAGUGUUUAAAGUUCCAGGUAGAUAAACAUUCCCAAACUUCAGGAGGCAGACUUCUUUUCUGGGCUGUGAGCUAUCAGCAUCCUCCCUCUUACAGAGUCUAAGAAUUUGAGUAAGUACUUCAUGCAAAAUAUAAAUUUUAGAACCCACCAUGGCCUGCACUUCACAUUUUUUUAACGUAUGUGACUAGAGACUUAAAAUUGAAGAAGCUGGAUCUUUGGUGCACAUCCGAGAGGUGGCACCAUACGUGCCCGCAGAAAGCCACAUAUGACUUGAAGAGGAACGGCCUCAAUCUUGUGGAAGUGGGCAGUACCACCAGGAAGUCCCCUCCGGAGUGCCCGUCUGCCAGCACCAUGCACCCUGGUCCUUCCUGCCGGUCCUCUCGGAGCCAUUCCUCAGGCUCAGCCCUUGUGUCUGACGUUUAGCUCAGGCCAGAGUGUGGUACCCACUGGGCCCUGGGGAGUCCUGGGCAGGCAGCCCUCCGUGCACUCAGCACAGUCCUGGUGGGCUCCCAAAUUCUGCAGCUUUCAGAAAUCCCACUGAGUCAGUGUUUUUGACAAUGGAAUUAGGCUGAACACUUAUGUGGCAAGGAAUGAUUUCUAAACAAGAUGUCAACUUAGUAAUUUGAGUGAGGAGCCCACCUGCCAGAUAGACUGUGUCAUGGGGUCUCUAGUGAGCACCUUCCAUCUCGGGAAAUCUCUUCAAGAAGCCAGCCACCAUUUGAAAGCUUUUUAGAGAGCAUGGGAUCAGAGCCAGAGCAAUUAGGGGUCAGGCCAGGGGCUCUGACCCCCGCUGGGUCCCCAUUUCUGCUGUAGGGAUGCACCCAUUUUACCUUACCGGCCCCUCUGCUGAGAAGCCCUGCACACUGAUGCUUCAGGGAACAGGAGCUCCCCAAAGGCUCAGCAGAACCAACCACUCUGCACUCACAGGCUUUCUGCACACUGUCCUUAUAAUUCAAUUGCUAAGGUUUCAUCAUUUUGUAAUCCUAGCUGUGUGCCUUGAUUAUAAGAGUGAGAGUGGGGAGAAUCCUCAAACUUAGCAGCACAGAUUACAGACUCCGUGGUCACUUCGGCAUGAAACACGUCUCAUUCAUGACGUGGUUUUACUAUCAUAGUGUCUUUCAAAUUGUUCCAGAGCCUUAGUUUCCCCAGGGGUACACACGGGCCAUAUUGUGGAGGAGGGGGUGAGUGAAGCCAGCAGAACUGCAACCCCUCAGUCUCCCAGAACCAUGCUGCCAGCCUCGUGUGACUGCUGAGCCCCUGCGAUGUGGCUGAUCACAUUUAAAAAUAAAAGCAUCAUAAAAACAGGCCAUGUUGGAAGCAGCACUACAGAAAAGAGGCCGAACACAUGGCACAGAUUUGGAGGGCAGGCUAGAAAAAGGUGGGCAAAAAGUGAGAGAAGUCGGACAAAGGAAAACUAACACAUCCGUAACGGGGUCCUGAAGAAGGGGGCCAAACAACAGAACAGACUUAACGAUACAAUCGAGAAAAUACUGAAGAAAAAAAGAGUUUAAGGAAUAAAAGGUGCAGUGUCCCAGGUGAGACACAGCCUAGAAAAGUUCUCUAAUUUCAAAACAAAAAGCCUGAGCCAUCUGGACGAAAAGCUGAAGUUACAGGGAAGGAGAGGGAGACGUACGUGCAUCCUCAUGUUGCUAAUGGGAGUGGGCAUUGCUCCGGUGGUUUAGAAAAUGGUGCAGCACUUACUAACAUUCGAAACGUGUCUUUUAACCCAACAGUUCUACUUGUGAGAACACCUCGCAGAACACACAAAAAUAAAAGUACCCUGGGAUGUGUGGACAAAAGCAAUGCGAGGCUGUCAGCAGAGGCCAAGGGGAAGCCACCUGAGGUCUGCCUUGGGGGGAUGAUCAGCAGCAAACCCGUACUAUGGAAUAUUGUAUUACUAAAAUCAUAGCUGCUGGCCUGGAGUGACAUCUGUUGGUUGCAUGAACAAAGAUGUGUGUAUAUAUAUAUAUAAUACAAGCACACUUUAAGGAAAAAUAUCUAUCAAAUGUAUACAUUUUUAUGUGGGCCUGGUGAGAGAGAGGCAUACACAGGCCAUAACCACUGGAUGGGUGCAGAUUAUUCAUACUUGUAUUGUUUCACUUUUUAUAUUAUUAUUUGUAGAGACCCAAAAUAUAUGGUGAAGGAAAUCUCAAAAUGAGAAAAACGUACACAAAAGUGAGAAGGCUCUGGCCUUUAGCAGUUAGAACAGCUUUAUUUACCUAAUUCAGAGAAAGAGGCUGGAGAUUUUUCAGGGAGUUAAAGUCAGUGCCAGUUUCUAAACCAGCAAAUGCUACUAAUUGUAUCUCGAGUUUUACAUAAACUUUAUUCCGUAUUAAAUAUUUAAUUUUUCCUUGCUAA